rnacentral:rRNA from 1 species
GACGAACGCUGGCGGCGCGCUUAACACAUGCAAGUCGAACGGAAAGGCCUGCUUUCCCUUGUGGAUUGCGGGUACUCGAGUGGCGAACGGGUGAGUAACACGUGAGUGAUCUGCCCCCAACUUGGGUAUAAGCCUGGGAAACUGGGUCUAAUUCCCGAUAGGACUGCAGGGUGGUGCCUGUGGUGGAAAACGAUUUUCUAGUGGUUGGGGAUGAGCUCGCGGCCUAUCAGCUUGUUGGUGGGGUAAUGGCCUACCAAGGCGGCGACGGGUAGCCGGCCUGGGAGGGUGGACGGCCGCAUUGGGACUGGGAUACGGCCCAGACUCCUACGGGAGGCAGCAGUGGGGAAGAUUGGACCAUGGGCCGAAGCCUGAUGCAGCGACGCCGCGUGGGGGAUGACGGCCUUCGGGUUGUAAACUCCUUUCGACCGCGAGGAAGCCACCUGGUUGGAAGGGUGGUGACGGUAGUGGUAGAAGAAGCCCCGGCUAACUACGUG